CGAAAGGUUUACCCAGGAGACGGAAAAGCCGGAAAAAGAUACGAGAAAUAACUGCAAAGAAAAAACUUGAAGGCAAAGCUAAAGCCGGGAGUAUACCGGGGGAUACAGGAUCUGUGGCAACCGCGACUAUGGUUCGGCGCCAAAUGCCGCCGCGCGCCUGCAAGAGCAAGAGCCAGAGCGCCGCCAGGCCCAGUCUUAGUCCCAGCCGCCUGGCCUAGAAGCCCAGCCUGACGCCGACCACCGGUUCUCAGGCGCCAUCGCAGACCAUCGCAAAGUCGAGGCCCACCGGUCUCGAGACGAUUUUUGAACGGCCCGGCAAUGAGGACGACGGGCCCACCAGCAGCCAUGCCGUGGCAUUCGGCGAGUGCCAGCGCCGCGUCCUCGCCCUGGGUACGGGCG